AUGGAUGUAGUUGGAGGUGGUAGUUGGCAGAUGGAAACCAUACAUAAGUGGAAGUGGAAACACAAGUACAGACAUUUGCUUUAUCUCUCUACCAGACCAGUUACUUGGGUUGCUAUCAACAACUCCAUUGUUAACUUUGUUAGAUUAUAACCCACCAGUUAACCAUUCGUUGAAAUGGCACAAGAAUUUGUAAAUACAGAUGAGGUAAAUCUUCUUAUGCAUUUCUAAUUGAAUGAAUCAACCGAGCGCAGUGACGUUUUAAGAUUCAUACAGCCGACCCUAUUUAGUGGAUAAGGCUUUGCUGCUGUUGUUGUUGUUUGUACUUCUGCUGAAAUUACUGCCUGUGAAUUUCUUGAUGGGUGUUUGCGUGAGUGAUGUUUAAGGUUGUUGGAGAACAAAUAGAGCAUGUGAGGUUGAUCACUUUGAACAGGCCUCGUCAGUUGAAUGUCAUCUCUUCAUAAGUGUUUCUUUGCUAGCUGAAUACUUGGAAAAGUGGGAAAAAGAUGACAAUGCUGAGCUUGUAAUUAACAAU
rnacentral:sRNA from 1 species